AGAAAAAACGUUGCAAGAGAGGAAGAAGGGAGAGAGAUGAAGAAGAAAGGAGAGGUGAGUUUUUUUUUUUUUAAGAGUGGAGAGUUGGCUGUGAAGUGGGAGAGAGGAUGGGUUGGCUGUGAAGUAAAUGGGAGAGAGGAUAGUGUAGUGGAGAAGAUGUUAUUAAUUAAAAACGGAUAUAGUAGAAUUUUAUUAUUUGUUUAGGGGUAGUUUUGGUAUUUUAAUAAAAAAUUUUAAGUGCUGAAACAGCUUGUGCAGGAAUCAGUUUUAAGAAGCAGGUUUUUCAGCUUCUACUUUUGGGGGUUGAAGAAUCAGUUUUCUGUUUUUGAGAGACCUUUACCAAACACUCUAUAGAGCCCAAAAGUGAUUUUGAACCUAAAAUUACUUUGAAAAAACUAGGCCAAACAGGACCUCUAUUAUCUAUAUCUUU
rnacentral:lncRNA from 1 species